AUGUCUCCAUGGUAAAAACUUCCAUUUAUUUAUGCAUAAUAAUAGAAUCAUACAGACACCAACACACAUCAAUAAUGAAGCCAUUGACUGAUAGAACUCCCACUAGACAACGUUAGGGAUGUUAGUGGUUACAAAUGAAACAAAUGACCCUCAAAAUCAGUCAAUAGAAACUCCCAAAUUAUGCUUAAUGAGAAUAAUAAUAACUCUAAUUGCUGAUGAAGACUUUCCUUAAAGAUCUACACCACAGAGAGAAAGAUCCACAGACAUAAAAACACAUAAACACAGAUAGACUGAACUAUGUACGCACAGCAGGAUGCAACGCGGUGAGUCAUCAAAAGCAACCGGGCAACCGAAAUGUCUAAAAUAAAUGUUCCACCCUCAAAGAUGACGCAAGAGAAACUACAACUUUCAUUGUUUUUUGGAUGAAGAAAAAAUGAUAAUUGUUAAUUGUUUGGAGGUAUUUGGACAAACAAUCCAUGCUACAUAUUUUUUUUCCACCGGCAACACAUUAUGCACCGUCAAUCAUUCCUGCUCUCUCUCUCUUUUCAUUUGUUUUGCCAUCCCUUUGGCUCAUUUCAUUAUUAGUGAGUCUUUCUCAAGACGCUGAUACCGAUCACAGCUACUCAUUUUUACAGCAUUUAUUUUUCAUAGCUUAUUUCAAGCCAAAUAAAGCAAAGAGACAAAAUGUCAGUCGCCGUCCGUUAGCUUGGCACCACUGCUGAAAUCAGUGUGCACAACGCCGCCCAGAUUCCAACCUCAUCCCAACAAAACAUAUAUUAUUCCUUGUCUACCAGAAUGAAAACCCCACAUCCAACCACCCUCACCCAGCUUGAGGCACCCAACUACAACCAGUUCAUUACUAGUCAUCGUAUCGUACAUAGUCCCGUACAAACGAAAGAAAGAAAGGAACCACUCCAACUAUGUGUGGAAAUAUGGGCUAAUAACUAUAAAAGCAAUCGUCACUCGCUAAAUAUACUGCAAAAAAGGUCAGUAAGGAUAAUUCAUUAUGCCGCCUACAGAGAACAUACUAACUCCUUAUUUCUAAAAUCACAAAUACUUCAACUUGCUGAUAUAGUUCAUCUUCAAACAGCUAAAAUAAUGCAUGAGGCUAAAAAUAACCAAUUAGCUAAAAAUGUCAUCCAAUACUUCUCUACAAGAGAGGAGAAAUAUGAUCUCAGGGAAGAAGUACAUUUGAAACACUUAUACGUAUGCUAGGACUAUGUUAAAAAGCCAUAGCAUUUCAGUAUGUGCAAUCAAAUUUAUACAAAUUUCCCCACUGAGGGACGAAUAAAGGCAUAUCUUAAUAUCUUAAUCUUAAAACUAUGGAAUGGAUUGAGUAAGGAAGUCAAACAAUGCACAACGAUGAGCCAAUUCAAGAAACAAUACAAGCAGUUGAUGUUUGCUAAAUACAAGGAUGAAGAGUCUUGAACCAGUCAUGAUGUGCUAUAUAUAUCACUAUAUUGACACUUACUAUGGUACCCAUUAUGUCAUUGGAUGCUCAUAUCACCUCCUACUUCGGUAUGAGGUACAUUAUUAAAAAAAAAACAAAAAAAAAAACUUAAACUGUAUAAUGGAAAGCAGGAAGUGAACAAAUGUAACAGUUACUGAUUGUAAAAGUACCAGAUGGAGGGGUAGGAUUUAAUAAGCUUUGCUUCUUCCUACUCCUUUUGGACAUGUGGAACUGUGAACUGAUUAUGUGAUGCAUUCAAUUGUAAUCUGAUGCAUGUUCAAAGGAAAUUAAACCAUUACCAUUACCAUUACCAUUACCACUAUACAGUCACCACACCAGUCAUCACAAGCUAAAAUUGAAGAAAAAAGCAGCCCAAGCCAUGAUGACACCCCUUCCAUUGUGCCGUGUGGAAAACAUCUCAGUAUACAGCCCUCGGUGGACACCUCAGACACCACUGAUCUACUGUCAGUUGGUUUGGUCAAGUGUGAACUGAAUCCAGCCCAGACCCCCCUGAAGGAUGCACUUCCAAGCAAAAAUGCAAGCAUUACCAGCCGCUUUAUUCGGGCGACACUGCAAAACCAUCAGGGAUUUAUCCAUGUUAUCUAUUAUAAAGCCAAGGUGAAACCAGAACAGGAGAGGUCUAUAUUCAGCCAGGUAACAAACCAGAACUGUGUUGAAUCCAUUACAUGCUAAGCUAACACACACAUACAUCAUUCCCUCAGGCUGAAAUGGAAUAGUCUCAUAUGGGGAUUACACAUUAUGAAUAAGGCAGCGGUGAUGAUGAGUGCAGUCGUAUGAAUAGCAGCCUUUGUGCAGCAAACAGGCUUCCUUGUUGCACAGUGGCCACCUGCCAAUGUGGAGGAAGGGUUUCUAAUCAUCUGACAAGAAAACGGAAAGAAGAUAACAUUACACGGAACAAUAUGAAAACUCACACGAACAGUCACUUUCAAGGUCACAUCCCUGGUUUGCAGCUUCUUCCAUUCUGUAGCUUUAAUUACCGUAAAUCCCAGUGUAUAAGCUGCUACUUUUUUCUUCAACUUUUUUAUUACCCCUGCAGCUAAUACAGCCGUGUGUAGCCACACAUUGGAUGGCCAUAUCACCUCGUACUUUGGUAUAUGACAAAAAAUUUAAAAAAAUUCUAAAUUCAAAAAAAAAAAUAAAAUAAAUAAAUAAAAAUUAAUAAAAAUUAACAAAAUAAAUUUAUAAAUAAAAUAAAUUUGCUAAAUACAAGGAUGAAGAGUCUUGAACCAGUCAUGAUGUGCUAUAUAUAUCACUAUAUUGACACUUACUAUGGUACACAUUAUGUCAUUGGAUGCUCAUAUCACCUCGUACUUCGGUACGAGGUACAUUAUUUAAAAAAAAAAAACUGUAUUAUGGAAAGCAGGAAGUGAACAAAUGUAGCAGUUACUGAUUGUAAAAGUACCAGAUGGAUGGGGUAGGAUUUAAUAAGCUUUGCUUCUUCCUACUCCUUUUGGACAUGUGGAACAGCCACACGGCUGUAUUAACACAACACACAGCACUAAAUUCAUCACACAGCAAUUUAAAAAUCCAAAGGUUUAAAAAAAAAAAGUUUAAAAAAAAAAGAUUUCAAAGUUUUCUCAUAAGGCAUUGCGUGUGAGCCACACACAAACACUAAUAAAUAAGGGGGGUAGUGUCUCAUAGUGUCAACUUACUAGGAACACCGCCCUAACACUAAAUUCAUCACACAGCAACUUAAAAAUCCAAAGGUAUAACGCAGAAAUAUACAAACACGUACCAAUAUGAGUUUUAAAAAAAUUAACUUUUCUCAUAAGGCAUUGCGUGUGAACAACACACAAACAUUAAUAAAUAAUAACAAUAACAAUAAGGCUGUAUAAGUGAUACAGUGAACAAUACAUUUCAUUGUAUCAGUUUCAAGUGCAGUGUUUUUUUUCCGAGUCGUUCAGACCUUGGUUAUGGGGUUUGAGUGAAUUACAGGAGAGGACUUAAAGUGAGAGGAGUGAGUUUGGCUCGGGUUCGGGUUCCUUUUAUAAUUCUAAUCACUACAUUGAGACCAUCAGAAAUGAUUCGGAGCAUUAUAACAACAAAAUCAAAUCAAUCCAGCUACUUCGGCACAAUUUGACAGCUGUGACCUAACCAAUCUGUAUGAUUGUGUGAUCCUCCGUUUGAUGGGAACGAUAAGAACGAGGGAAAUCAAUAAGCAGAGGAGCCAGUAAUUAUUGUGCAUUAGUACAUCAUUCCUACCAUUUCCCUCCAGCCUCAAUGGCAAGCAGAGGAAGAUACCAUUAACGACUGAGGCGGCUUUGAUUCCUUGCGCCUUUAGAAGAGAAGCUUAAACACGAUCAAUGCAGCGUUUCCUCCUGACUCACUUAGCUCAGUGGAUUUCAGACAGCAGCGGAAUGAAUGGGAAUGAUAAACUUAAGCAUGUAAAGGAGAUGAUGCUGCAAGCCUACUGAACUAAGCAAUUGAUAUGACAGUCUGGAGUCUUUGUAGCAGGAUGCAAAUUAACCUUCUAAGACACAAAUUCAUCGGAAAAGAGAAUCACAGUCAGUGAACUUCAGACAAACAAAGACAGUUUCUGUCAAAUGCAGAUUUAAGGUCCACCAUUUGAUAAUGUUUGUUGUUUUAGCAUUAAUUUAAUAACCAUGCACCACAUACAGGGAUACCUCGGUUAUCGUCCGCUCCGGUUAGCAUGUUUUUCGGUUAACAACCAAAUUUGGAAACCUGUGAGGGUGGGUGUAAUAACUUAAAACAAACCAUCAUGAAGAUCGUCAUCAUUUCAGAGGUAUAUGUAAAUAUGACAGGAAUGCCUGGAGGUGGCCCGUGGGUGGAAUAACUUAAAAAAAACUUUUUGAAAAAUCCAGUGGAAAUACAGAUAGGAAUAGGUGCCGAUUCUGGAAGAUCUAAAAAGCUUUCUGUGCAGGUUAUCAUGAAGAUCGUCAUCAUUUCAGAGGUAUAUGUAAAUAUGACAGGAAUGCCUGAAGGUGGCCCGUGGGUGGAAUAACUUAAAAAAAAAACGUUUUGAAAAAUCCAGUGGAAAUACAGAUAGGAAUAGGUGCUGAUUCUGGAAGAUCUAGAAAGCUUUCUGCGCAGGUUAUCAUGAAGAUCGUCAUCAUUUCAGAGGUAUAUGUAAAUAUGACAGGAAUGCCCGAAGGUGGCCUGUGGGUGGAAUAACUUAAACCGUUUUGAAAAAUCUAGCGGAAAUACAGCUGGAAUAGGUGCCGAUUCUGGAAGAUCUAGAAAGCUUUCUGUGCAGGUUAUCAUGAAGAUCGUCAUCAUUUUCAGAGGUAUAUGUAAAUAUGACAGGAAUGCCCGGAGGUGGCCCGUGGGUGGAAUAACUUAAACUGUUUUCAAGAAUCCAGUUGAAAUACAGCUGGAAUAGGUGCCAAUUCUGGAAGAUCUAGAAAGCUUUCUGCGCAGGUUAUCAUGAAGAUCGUCAUCAUUUCUGACGUACAUGUAAAUAUGACAGGAAUGCCCGGAGGUGGCCCGUGAGUGGAAUAACUUAAACCGUUUUGAAAAAUCCAGUGGAAAAACAGCUGGAAUAGGUGCCGAUUCUGGAAGAUCUAGAAAGCUUUCUGUGCAGGUUAUCAUGAAGAUCAUCAUAAUUUCAAAGGUACAUAUAAAUAUGACAGAAAUGCCCGGAGGUGGCCCGUGGGUGGAAUAACUUAAACCGUUUUGAAAAAUCCAGUGGAAAUACAGCUGGAAAAGGUGCCGAUUCUGGAAGAUCUAAAAAGCUUUCUGCGCAGGUUAUCAUGAAGAUCGUCAUCAUUUCAAAGGUAUAUGUAAAUAUGACAGGAAUGCCUGAAGGUGGCCCGUGGGUGGAAUAACUUAAAACAAACCGUUUUGAAAAAUCCAGUGGAAAUACAGCUGGAAUAGGUGCCGAUUCUGGAAGAUCUAGAAAGCUUUCUGUGCAGGUUAUCAUGAAGAUCGUCAUCAUUUCAGAGGUAUAAUAAAUAGGACAGGAAUGCCCGGAGGUGGCCCGUGGGUGCAAUAACUUAAACCGUGUUGAAAAAUCCAGUGGAAAUACAGCUGGAAUAGGUGCUGAUUCUGGAAGAUCUAGAAAGCUUUCCGUGCAGGUUAUCAUGAAGAUUGUCGUCAUUUCAGAGGUAUAUGUAAAUAUGACAGGUGGCCCGUGGGUGGAAGAACUUAAAACAAACCAUUUUGAAAAAUCCAGUGGAAAAACAGCUGGAAUAGGUGCCGAUUCUGGAAGAUCUAAAAAGCUUUCUGCGCAGGUUAUCAUGAAGAUCGUCAUCAUUUCAGAGGUAUAAUAAAUAUGACAGGAAUGCCCGGAGGUGGCUUAUGGGUGGAAUAACUUAAACUGUUUUGAAGAAUCCAGUUGAAAUACAGCUGGAAUAGGUGCCAAUUCUGGAAGAUCUAGAAAGCUUUCUGUGCAGGUUAUCAUGAAGAUCGUGAUCAUUUCAGAGGUAUAUGUAAAUAUGACAGGAAUGCCUGAAGGUGGCCCGUGGGUGGAAUAACUUAAAAAAAAACGUUUUGAAAAAUCCAGUGGAAAUACAGCUGGAAUAGGUGCCAAUUCUGGAAGAUCUAGAAAGCUUUCUGCGCAGGUUAUCAUGAAGAUCGUCAUCAUUUUCAGAGGUAUAUGUAAAUAUGACAGGAAUGCCCGAAGGUGGCCCGUGGGUAGAAUAACUUAAACUGUUUUGAAGAAUCCAAUUGAAAUACAGCUGGAAUAGGUGCCGAUUCUGGAAGAUCUAGAAAGCUUUCUGUGCAGGUUAUCAUGAAGAUCGUCAUCAUUUCAGAAGUAUAUGUAAAUAUGACAGGAAUGCCUGAAGGUGGCCCGUGGGUGGAAUAACUUAAACCGUUUUGAAAAAUCCAGUGGAAAUACAGCUGGAAUAAGUGCCGAUUCUGGAAGAUCUAGAAAGCUUUCCGUGCAGGUUAUCAUGAAGAUCGUCAUCAUUUCGGAGGUAUAAUAAAUAUGACAGGAAUGCCCGGAGGUGGCCCGUGGGUGAAAUAACUUAAAACAAACCGUUUUGAAAAAUACAGCUGGAAUAGGUGCCAAUUCUGGAAGAUCUAAAAAGCUUUCUGUGCAGGUUAUCAUGAAGAUCGUCAUCAUUUCACAUGUAUAUGUAAAUAUGACAGGAAUGCCUGGAGGUGGCCCGUGGGUGGAAUAACUUAAAACAAACCAUUUUGACAAAUACAGCUGGAAUAGGUGCCGAUUCUGGAAGGUCUACAAAGCUUUCUGCGCAGGUUAUCAUGAAGAUCGUCAUCAUUUCAGAGGUAUAAUAAAUAUGACAGGAAUGCCCCGGAGGUGGCCCGUGGGUGGAAUAACUUAAACUGUUUUGAAGAAUCCUGUUGAAAUACAGCUGGAAUAGGUGCCGAUUCUGGAAGAUCUAAAAAGCUUUCUGUGCAGGUUAUCAUGAAGAUCGUCAUCAUUUCAGAGGUAUAAUAAAUAUGACAGGAAUGCCUUAAGGUGGCCCGUGGGUGGAAUAACUUAAACCGUUUUGAAAAAUCCAGUGGAAAAACAGCUGCAAUAGGUGCUGAUUCUGGAAGAUCUAGAAAGCUUUCUGCGCAGGUUAUCAUGAAGAUCGUCAUCAUUUUCAGAGGUAUAUGUAAAUAUGACAGGUGGCCCGUGGGUGGAAGAACUUAAA